UGGGGAAUAUUGCACAAUGGGCGGAAGCCUGAUGCAGCGACGCCGCGUGGGGGAUGAAGGCAUUCGGGUUGUAAACUCCUUUCGACAGGGACGAAGCUUUUGUGACGGUACCUGUAUAAGAAGCACCGGCUAACUACGUGCCAGCAGCCGCGGUAAUACGUAGGGUGCGAGCGUUGUCCGGAAUUACUGGGCGUAAAGAGCUCGUAGGUGGUUUGUCGCGUCGUCUGUGAAAUUCCGGGGCUUAACUCCGGGCGUGCAGGCGAUACGGGCUGACUUGAGUGCUGUAGGGGAGACUGGAAUUCCUGGUGUAGCGGUGAAAUGCGCAGAUAUCAGGAGGAACACCGAUGGCGAAGGCAGGUCUCUGGGCAGUAACUGACGCUGAGGAGCGAAAGCAUGGGUAGCGAACAGG
rnacentral:rRNA from 1 species